rnacentral:rRNA from 1 species
GACGAACGCUGGCGGCGUGCUUUACACAUGCAAGUCGAGCGAUGAGAUCCCUUCGGGGAUGGAUUAGCGGCGAACGGGUGAGGAACACGUGAGGAAUCUGCCUUCAACACUGGGAUAACUCCGGGAAACCGGGGCUAAUACCGGAUACGAGAGCUGCAGGCAUCUGCGGCUCUGGAAAGUUUUUCGGUUGAAGAUGACCUCGCGGCCUAUCAGCUUGUUGGUGAGGUAAUGGCUCACCAAGGCGACGACGGGUAGCCGGCCUGAGAGGGCGACCGGCCACACUGGGACUGAGACACGGCCCAGACUCCUACGGGAGGCAGCAGUGGGGAAUAUUGGGCAAUGGAGGAAACUCUGACCCAGCGACGCCGCGUGCGGGAUGAAGGCCUUCGGGUUGUAAACCGCUUUCAGCAGGGAAGAAGCGAAAGUGACGGUACCUGCAGAAGAAGCACCGGCUAACUAUGUGCCAGCAGCCGCGGUAAUACAUAGGGUGCAAGCGUUGUCCGGAAUUAUUGGGCGUAAAGAGCUCGUAGGUGGUUCGUCACGUCGGAUGUGAAAAUCUGGGGCUUAACCCCAGACCUGCAUUCGAUACGGGCGAGCUAGAGUGUGGUAGGGGAGACUGGAAUUCCUGGUGUAGCGGUGGAAUGCGCAGAUAUCAGGAGGAACACCAAUGGCGAAGGCAGGUCUCUGGGCCAUUACUGACACUGAGGAGCGAAAGCGUGGGGAGCGAACAGGAUUAGAUACCCUGGUAGUCCACGCCGUAAACGGUGGGCACUAGUUGUGGGAACCUUCCACGGUUUCUGCGACGCAGCUAACGCAUUAAGUGCCCCGCCUGGGGAGUACGAUCGCAAGAUUA